UCCCUGGUGGCUCAGAUGGUAAAGAAUCUGCCUGCAAUGCUGGAGACCCGGGUUCAAUCCCUGGAUUGGGAA
rnacentral:tRNA from 1 species